GGGCGCCUGGGCUCUGCCCCGCUGCCCUGAGAGUCGCGUGGCGCGGGGAGGGGGCUGCGCAGGGGCGCAGGGCGGGGCGCGCAGGUGAGCUCGCGGCUCUAGGUGCGGCUCAGGGGCACAAAUCCAUCCCAUAACCGGGCCUUGGAAGGGAUCUUCCCAACUUCAGAGUGCCAUGACCACCUUUAUAUUUGGCCAGUAAAAAGCCAAGCCCCAAACAUCCAGUUUCAAUUUCUGGUGGUACCCACCAUCCCAGGAGACGUCGUUACAUGUUUUCUGUGAGGACUGUGGACUGUGCCCAAGACUGAUGUUCGUCCACCUGCCAACGGCGGCUGCCUUGCUUGGAUUGGCCUGACCUGGACGGAGACCAGAGGAGAACAAGGCAUGAGCAUGGAGGCGCAGAGGGGUGAUGGGGGAAUGACCGAGGCCUGCUCAGCUCCACGCAGAGGGCUGCGGGCACAUGCCGAUGGCCUUUGUGCCAUUCGUGAUGCAGGUGACGCGGAGAGGAGGCAGGGGCGGUAGCACAUCCGGAGCCUGGCUGGGUCAGUGGGGCAGAAGCAGGGGUAGAGGGUGUAGGACGGGGAGUAGGCCGGCCUGGGAGGUGAGAGGCGGAGGGACUAGGCUGCCGGGAGGAGGUGGCCUGGAGGGAACCAUCAGCUUCUCCGGGUGCUCUGCUCCCAGCCCCACCUCGGAGAGGGGCCCACCUACACCUGGCCCGCCCUUCCCUUCUCCCUCCCUGGGUUUAUCCUCCAACGCAGCUUCAGCCUUGAGGGGAUGAGAGGAAUGCAGCUGGGCCCACAGUCCUCCGAGCACCCCUUCGUCAGAAGAGAACACUGCUCAACUCUGGUUUGAGGUGGUGCUGGGGAUUGAGCCUAAAACCUUGGUGGGAGCAAUCUGACAAGUCUACUUUGUGGAACUGGUGUUGAAGAGGAAGUGCAAAGACUGUAGGUUAAUGAAACCCAUAGGAUCUGCACUCCAGUGAGAACAGUUGAUAUGUUAAAUAGCAGAAAUCCUC